UUCCAAUGUUCCCGGUCACAAGUCGCCGCCACUUCACAUCCUCCCUAUAUAUGCUCCGUUCAUCUUCUCCACACAACCAUCUCCUCUACUCUUCCUCCUCCUCAUCUUUCCUCCCUUCCUUCAUCUCCUCCAAAUCCAAAUCCUCCUCUUCAACCAACAAACACAACCAACAACCUCCUCCUCCAAUGGCCGCGUGCAUCGACACGUGCCGAACCGGUAAACCACAGAUCUCACGUGACUCAAACCGGUCCCACGACGACGAAUCCGGUUUCCGUUACUCCAAUUACUACCGAUCCGGUUA
rnacentral:lncRNA from 1 species